rnacentral:tRNA from 1 species
AAAGAAUUAGUUAAAUAAAAUAUUAGUAUGUCAUACUAAAGUUAUUAGAAUAUUAAUCUAAUAUUCUUUU